UAGCUCUACCUUAGCUUCUCAUUAUACCAAAAACCCUCCCAAACUUAAGAGCCAUUCAAAUAAGGCACAGCUUAUUUGAAAUAGGGCACAACCUCUAACACCGGGUAAAUAAGGGUAACUUAAACAAAGUAGGCCUAAGAGCAGCCACCUUUAAAAAAGCGUUAAAGCUUAUCUAUAAAUACCCACAAUUUCCUAAAUCCCCAUUAACCCUUCACCACUACUGAACUAUUUUAUACCCGUAUAAAAGCUUUAAUGCUAGAACUAGUAACAAGAAAUAGCCCUUCUCCAAAAUGUAAGCUUACACCAAAAUGGACUAUCCAUUGGUAAUUAACGCAAAUGUUGUAGUCACAGCAACACACCUCUAGAAAACCCUGUGACCUCCUACGUUACCCUUACGCUAGAACAUCUCAGGAAAGAUUAAAAGAGAAAGAAGGAACUCGGCAAAUCCUCAGCCCCGCCUGUUUACCAAAAACAUCGCCUCUUGACCAAGUAUAAGAGGUCCAGCCUGCCCAGUGACAAAAUUCAACGGCCGCGGUACCCUAACCGUGCGAAGGUAGCAUAAUCACUUGUUCUCUAAAUAGGGACUAGUAUCAACGGCAUCACGAGGGCUGUACUGUCUCCUUUCUCCAAUCAGUGAAACUGAUCUCCCCGUGAAGAAGCGGGGAUUAUUAUAUAAGACGAGAAGACCCCAUGGAGCUUUAAACUCAUCACUCACUUCCUCACCUCCAUGCCCGACCAUAUAAGGAAUCUGUGUGAUAGUUUUGGGUUGGGGGGACCACGGAGUACAAUUUAACCUCCAUGACAAAUGGGCUAACGCCCUUAUCUAUGAACUACAACUCUAAGAAUCAUAAACUGAUGUUUGAUGACCCGACAAUUCGAUCAACGAACCAAGUUACCCUGGGGAUAACAGCGCAAUCUACUUCAAGAGCCCCUAUCGACAAGUAGGUUUACGACCUCGAUGUUGGAUCAGGGUAUCCUAGGGGUGCAGCCGCUCCUAACGGUUCGUUUGUUCAACGAUUAAAACCCUACGUGAUCU
rnacentral:rRNA from 1 species